rnacentral:rRNA from 1 species
AUUGAACGCUGGCGGCAUGCCUUACACAUGCAAGUCGAACGGCAGCACGGGUGCUUGCACCUGGUGGCGAGUGGCGAACGGGUGAGUAAUACAUCGGAACAUGUUCUGUAGUGGGGGAUAGCCCGGCGAAAGCCGGAUUAAUACCGCAUACGAUCUACGGAUGACAGCGGGGGACCUUCGGGCCUCGCGCUAUAGGGUUGGCCGAUGGCUGAUUAGCUAGUUGGUGGGGUAAAGGCCUACCAAGGCGACGAUCAGUAGCUGGUCUGAGAGGACGACCAGCCACACUGGGACUGAGACACGGCCCAGACUCCUACGGGAGGCAGCAGUGGGGAAUUUUGGACAAUGGGCGAAAGCCUGAUCCAGCAAUGCCGCGUGUGUGAAGAAGGCCUUCGGGUUGUAAAGCACUUUUGUCCGGAAAGAAAUCCUUGGCCCUAAUACGGUCGGGGGAUGACGGUACCGGAAGAAUAAGCACCGGCUAACUACGUG